UUAAAUUGAAGAGUUUGAUCAUGGCUCAGAUUGAACGCUGGCGGCAGGCCUAACACAUGCAAGUCGAACGGUAACAGGAAGUAGCUUGCUGCUUCGCUGACGAGUGGCGGACGGGUGAGUAAUGUCUGGGAAACUGCCUGAUGGAG
rnacentral:rRNA from 1 species